rnacentral:misc_RNA from 1 species
UCUCCGUUGGUGAACCAGCGGAGGGAUCAUUACCGAGUUUACACUCAUAACCCUUUGUGAACAUUAUAACUUGUUGCUUCGGCGGCUUCUUCGGGAGCCCGCCGGCGUUUCAGUAUCUCUGUUUGUACCCGACGAUACAUCUGAGUGUUCUUAGCGAACUAUAAAAACUUUUAACAACGGAUCUCUUGGUUCUA